rnacentral:sRNA from 1 species
UGCGCAACGGACAGCGCUGCUCGGCAGGGAGCUUGAGCCAGGGAAUUUCAGGAUGAUGAAGCCAGGAUGGCUGGACACGGAUAGCACGUAUGGACUGAAGAGUGGGCGAGUUUACUCGCCCCUUUUUUU